AGUGAACGCUGGCGGUAGGCCUAACACAUGCAAGUCGAACGAACUCUUCGGAGUUAGUGGCGGACGGGUGAGUAACACGUGGGAACGUGCCUUUAGGUUCGGAAUAACUCAGGGAAACUUGUGCUAAUACCGAAUGUGCCCUUCGGGGGAAAGAUUUAUCGCCUUUAGAGCGGCCCGCGUCUGAUUAGCUAGUUGGUGAGGUAACGGCUCACCAAGGCGACGAUCAGUAGCUGGUCUGAGAGGAUGGCCAGCCACACUGGGACUGAGACACGGCCCAGACUCCUACGGGAGGCAGCAGUGGGGAAUCUUGCGCAAUGGGCGAAAGCCUGACGCAGCCAUGCCGCGUGAAUGAUGAAGGUCUUAGGAUUGUAAAAUUCUUUCACCGGGGACGAUAAUGACGGUACCCGGAGAAGAAGCCCCGGCUAACUUCGUGCCAGCAGCCGCGGUAA
rnacentral:rRNA from 1 species